GCUAGGCCGCAUUUUAGGUGUGUUUGUUGCUGAUACACAUUUAUAGUGAAGACCUCCGUGGUCUUGACUCAAGAGCUCACUUUUGUUUCUCUCAGUGUCUCAUCUUCCAGGAUGAAUCCCUUAUUCAUGACCUUCUACCUGGCAGGAAACAAAUGCUUUCACGGAAGCUGGAUUUCAGGCCAUCAUCCUGUGGACUGAUCGCUGGAGGCUCUUGAGACCCAUGAAGAGUGAACAUCUCACAGAGACAAGGACACAGCCAAGCUUGGAUCUGAUGGAGGAAGUCAACCUUUAAGGCUGUGUAUUUUCUUCUUGACAUUUAAUUUUAUGUCAACAAGGGGAACUCUAUGGCAAUUUUAACCCAAAUGGGGAUUUCUUGUAAACGCUGCAUGACAUCACUAAGUCUAAGGCCUCAUGUAAGAUACUGGGACCAGGUGUGACAGAGAGCUAGCGAGAGCCACUAGCUCUUGGCCAUUAUGGAAGUCAUGUCUUCAGUGAGGUUUCUUGGAUGUCAAUGUUUCCUUGGCUAUUUCACUCUAAUAUUCAGCUAACCUUGUUCCAGAAACUGCAAAAUAAUUGGGAUCCAACGUUUGAAGCCAGUGGUUUUCAAGCAACCAUAAUUAGUUCAAAAGGCUUUUCAAAAAGCACAUCUAUGAUUUCAAAUUACUCACGUUGUUCUGCAGUAAUAUCCCGAAGCUGUUAAAAGAGUGUGACUUAAUGGUUUGUUCAGUGUUGGAGGUCUGGGCCGCUGUAUGAGAGUGGGAGGUCACGCCGCCACGCCGGAGAGGCAGCUUCCUUCUGUCAGAUCAGGCAUUAUCAAUGUUAUUGCUUAGGCCAUUAUUGUGAGGUGGUCAGGACAUCUGCAGCAAGGAGCUACCUAGAAAAACAUUCCCUUUCUUGAGCAGUGCCAGCUAGCAGUGCACACAAUGAAAGCAGGAACUAAUAAAAUGUGGGGCAGAGAAAGAACAGAGGUGCUGAACCCCUGAAGGCCUGGCUGGAAUCUGACCGUACCACGUUGAAUGCCGAGGAGUGCCAUGUCUGUCUGUAAAACAGGCUAACCGCGGAGGGUCUGAAGCUGACCUGUGCGGUGUCCAGCCAGCGCCUGGCUACAGGAGGGGGCUGAAGGAGUAGAAGGCGCUCCCACAGCAGUAGGGCUCUAAUGACUCGUAGACUGCUGCUCCAUUCCUGCACACGUCUGCUGUAGUCGCUUUCCCAACUGGGUUCUUCUGCAGAGUGAAGGUCUGCAUAGGCUAGGAAUGGAAGCCUGGUCAGUGCAGAGUAAAUACUUAAUGGUUGAAAAGGAGGCUGUUAUUGCUGGAUGGCCGGAUCUUGGUUGUUCCGGUACAGGCUGGGGGUGCUUACUCAGGCCUUGUGGGCACCCCUAAACACAUCCACACGGUGGAAAGAACUGCAGUUGGCUUUUGUCCCCAUGAUGGGGAAGGCAGAUUGUUAUAAAAAGGGUUAAAGAACCUUUCUCAAAAGAAUAUAGAGUUAAUUAUCUGUCUUUCGGCAGACCAUGAA